UACAGAGGUCUCAAGCGUUGUUCGGAUUCAUUGGGCGUAAAGGGCGCGUAGGCUGCGGGGCAAGUCGGGUGUGAAAUCUCAGAGCUCAACUCUGAAACUGCACUCGAUACUGCUUUGCUCGAGGACUGGAGAGGAGAUUGGAAUUCACGGUGUAGCAGUGAAAUGCGUAGAUAUCGUGGAGGAAGACCAGUGGCGAAGGCGGAUCUCUGGGCCGAUACUGACGCUGGAGGAGCGAAAGCGUGGGGAGCGAACAGG
rnacentral:rRNA from 1 species